CUGCCUUCGUAGCUUAUUAUCCCAAAGACUCUUCCAGAAGCAUUCAGCCAAAAAAAAAAAACACUUUUUCAGAAGCUCCCAUUAUCUUCCAAAACCAGACUCACUUCUCUAUCUUUCAAGGGAAAAAAAUGAGUAGCAGUUCGAGCCGUACCAUCUAUGUUGGUAAUCUCCCAGGUGAUACUCGUUUGAGAGAAGUAGAAGAUCUCUUUUGUAAGUAUGGGCCUAUUGUUGACAUUGAUCUGAAGCUCCCACCAAGACCCCCAGGCUAUGCUUUUAUUGAGUAUGAAGAUUCUCGUGAUGCUGAAGAUGCAAUUUAUUACCGGGAUGGGUACAACUUUGAUGGUUAUCGCUUACGAGUUGAACUUGCACAUGGUGGGCGAGGAAAUUCGUCAUCAGCAGAUUAUCAUGGCAGUUAUGGUGGUAGUGGCAGUAGCCGUGCUGCUCCCAAGCAUUCUGACUAUCGUGUUCUGGUCACUGGAUUACCUCCUUCUGCUUCAUGGCAAGACCUAAAGGAUCACAUGCGGCAAGCUGGUGAUGUCCUUUUCUCUCAAGUAUUCCGAGACCGUGGUGGCAUGACAGGAAUUGUGGAUUAUGCACACUAUGAUGACAUGAAGUAUGCUAUCAAAAAACUUGAUGAUUCUGAAUUUCGGAAUGCUUUUUCUCGGUCUUACGUACGGGUGAGAGAGUAUGAUUCGAGGCGGAGUUACUCUAGAAGUCGCAGCCGUGAUUCAAGACGGAGCUACUCUAGAAGUCCUUACAUGUCGAGAAGCCCUAGUCGCAGCCGUAGCUAUAGUGGCAGGAGUGGGAGCAUAUCUCCAAAGAGAAAAUAUUCACGUCGAUCUCCAUCAGUCUCUGGUUCAAGAUCUGGAUCUUUGCGGCGACCUGGGGACUGCAUGUUAGGAACUUGAUGUUGAUGGCAUGUGGUACUCAACGCCUGCAACUCUUUUGGUUGCUGAGGUAAUACCGUUUUGUUGAUGAGCACCUCUGGAAAAACCUCAAUGCUAAAAUAAUAAUACUGAUAUAUUAUAUGCAUGGUCUGCCAAUGGGUGCUAGACUGGAUCAUUGUUGACAAAUUGGUUGCGCUUUAAAAGCUGGAUUACCUGUGAACUGAGUGCUAUUGGUACACUCAACAAUUCUGUGGUGUAGACAAUUCAAAACCUCCUCAACGUUAUUAUAACUUGCGGUCAGGAUUCUGGGGUGGAUAUCGUUCUCCUUCCAACUAGGGUUUCCAUGAUGGUGCUGUAUUUGUUUUUUCUUUCUUUUAUUGGUCCAUUUAAGUUCUCAUGUGCUGCUGGAUAAAGAUGAUUUACUAAGAGGAUUUGAUCAUGAGAAAAUUGGGUUGAGUUCUUUUAAUAUUAGUUGCUGCUAAAGAUUUGUGGUAUAUUCCAUCUCUUCUAUUUCAUCCUUUGAUUAUGGUAAACCUAAAUGGAACCGGGAUUGAGGCUCUGGGAUCAAGGUUUUGCAAAAUUGUUGUUGAUAUUAAAUUGGGUGGUUUGUGAACUUUUGUGCAGAUCUCGAUCAAGAUCCAGAUCUCCAGUUACUUCUCAUCGUCGUCGUGAAAGUCGCAGUCCCAGCAGGAGCGUUAGAAGUAUAUCACGAUCCCGUUCGGCUUCUGUGAGAUCUGAUCGAAGCCGAUCUAUUGACUCCAGGGAUCGUGAUUGAGCGCAAAUUUUUAGUAGUUCUACAUUCAGCAUGUUCAUGUCGGGGACAUUAGGACACCUAACUAUAUAAGUAUAUGUAGUUAGCUACAUAACAUUUGGAUCUGGAUAUUAUUGGACGGUCUUGUAGUCUUGUAGUGCAUGUUAUGUUUCUUAAGUGAAUAAUCAACACAACUAAGAACAAACAUUUUCUACCAAAAUCUAAUGGUACUGCUGGAUCAAUUUCUUAUUU